UACGGGGGGAGCAAGCGUUGUUCGGAUUUACUGGGCGUAAAGGGCGCGUAGGCGGCCACCGCAAGUCAAUUGUGAAAUCUCCGGGCUUAACUCGGAAAGGUCAACUGAUACUGCGGGGCUAGAGUGCGGAAGGGGCAACUGGAAUUCUCGGUGUAGCGGUGAAAUGCGUAGAUAUCGAGAGGAACACCUGCGGCGAAGGCGGGUUGCUGGGCCGACACUGACGCUGAUGCGCGAAAGCGUGGGGAGCAGACAGG
rnacentral:rRNA from 1 species